UACGUAGGGUGCGAGCGUUGUCCGGAAUUACUGGGCGUAAAGAGCUCGUAGGUGGUUUGUCGCGUUGUUCGUGAAAACUCACAACUCAAUUGUGGGCGUGCGGGCGAUACGGGCAGACUUGAGUACUGCAGGGGAGACUGGAAUUCCUGGUGUAGCGGUGGAAUGAGCAGAUAUCAGGAGGAACACCGGUGGCGAAGGCGGGUCUCUGGGCAGUAACUGACGCUGAGGAGCGAAAGCGUGGGGAGCGAACAGG
rnacentral:rRNA from 1 species